ensembl:lncRNA
GAAUAAAUUCGUUUGUAUUUUUAACCGAUUUAAAAGUGAAACAAAGGCAGACUCCUCCCUCAGUCCCGGGAAUUGCUCCUGUAGAGGCGCAAUAUUUCUCAGAUAAUGGGAGUCUAUGGGAAAUUUCUGACUUUUAAUAAUUAAUAUAAAAAAAACUGUAAGUCUGAUCACUCUGAAAAGAUAUAGCACACUUCUGCCCCCCGUGCCGCAGGUGUCUGCCAAGUUUGGGGCUUGUGGCUUUAAAGCUCUAGGAGGAGAUAGGUUUGGAAAAUUAAGUCUCAGAAAAAGAAUAAGAAAAAGAAAAAUAAGAAGUUUAAAUAGCAUAACAGUAUGUUGGCUUGUGCCAAGCCAACAUAAUAAGAAGUUUAAAUAGCAUAACAGUAUGUUGGCUUGUGCCAAGCCAACAUAACUAGAAUGUAAAGUUAGUGAACUAACUUUGAUGUUGGCUUGGCCUUGGGCCAAAAGAGCCACUGUACUUGUGUGUCCAACCUUCUUGAGCUGCCUUGGUGGAAAAAAAACAACUUCCAACUGUAUUUUUCUAUGGACCCUUGCUGUUUUCUGUUCCAAUAAAAAGCAUUGGCUAUGACAACAGUUUCAACAGCUUUGGCUAGCUGUAUGCAAAAUAAGUCAUGCCUUUUCCCCCUGUUUGCUAUUUCCCAGUCCUCUAACUGAAGUGUUGUAUGCAACAACACAGAAGGUAAAAGAAACAAUGUGGUUUAAGUCAAGGUGAAAAUUGAUAUGAAAAAUAGAUAAGUAAUAUAGUUUCUUUUCUUCACUUUAUGUGUGAUAACUUGAUAAAUAUGUUGUCAAUACUAUUAAAAUAAGAAAAAAACGUAAUGAUUACAGUUUUUGCAUAAAUACUAUAUUGGGCUUUAUUAAAGUUUAUGAAAAUAGAAUGCAUGUAUAUGCAUUUUAU